UUGUGCAACCGGGGCAGCUUCCCUUGUGCAACCUGUUAUAUUGAACUUGCCAACUUCAUGUUUAAAAAUAGCCAACCUAACUUUUUGUUUUUGAUGGAAUUUUUUGUUUUUGGCUGGCAGUUUUUUUGUACAACUAGGCAGCAAAUCAUGUGCAACUUUUAUUUUAAUUCAACCAGGGUAGUCUUUCUAAGGCUGCUAUUUUUUUAGUUGCACAGUGAGCAUGCAAACGAUGUGGAUCACACGGUGAUACAAAGGCAUUUUGUAGCCUUUUUUUUGCAACUAGGCAGGUCCCCUUAUCCAAGUUGUUUUGAUUGACUUGCCAACCAAGUAGUAUAACUGUUUCUGGGUGGCAGUUUUGUUAAUUUGACAAAUAUGUUUGUUCUUUUUCUGUUUUGCAGAGACAAAUUGGUUGGUGAAGGAGAGGUGCCUGGCAGUGAAACAAAGGGUUCUCCAAAUAGGACCUUUCGGCGGGACUCAAAACGGGGUGCUAAGCAAGAACCAUGUGGCGCUGAUAAUGACGGGGAUGGAGAGGAUGAUGACGUGUCCCAGAGAGUAUCUAAAGCAUAUGAAAAAGAACUUGGGCCAGCGUGAAGGCGAGUGGAUGAUGCUUUUCGAUUUUGGUCUCUGAAAUCAGCGGACUUUCCUAAUCAAGAGAUGGGACAAAAAAUUUCCUAAUACAGCCGGCUGCCGAGGAGCGCUAGCGAGCGCACGGCUGCUCGCUAGACG